UACGUAGGUGGCGAGCGUUGUCCGGAUUUAUUGGGUUUAAAGGGUGCGUAGGCGGCCAGCACAAGUCAGUUGUGAAAUCUCCGAGCUUAACUCGGAAAGGUCAACUGAUACUGUGCGGCUAGAGUGCGGAAGGGGCAACUGGAAUUCUUGGUGUAGCGGUGAAAUGCGUAGAUAUCAAGAGGAACACCUGCGGCGAAGGCGGGUUGCUGGGCCGACACUGACGCUGAGGCGCGAAAGCCAGGGGAGCGAACGGG
rnacentral:rRNA from 1 species